rnacentral:rRNA from 1 species
AUACAGAGGGUGCGAGCGUUAAUCGGAUUUACUGGGCGUAAAGCGCGCGUAGGUGGUUAAUUAAGUCAAAUGUGAAAUCCCCGGGCUUAACUUGGGAAUUGCAUUCGAUACUGGUUAGCUAGAGUAUGGGAGAGGAUGGUAGAAUUCCAGGUGUAGCGGUGAAAUGCGUAGAGAUCUGGAGGAAUACCGAUGGCGAAGGCAGCCAUCUGGCCUAAUACUGACGCUGAGGUGCGAAAGCAUGGGGAGCAAACAGGAUUAGAUACCCUGGUAGUCCAUGCCGGAAACGAUGUCUACUAGCCGUUGUGGGAUUUGAUCCUUUAGUGGCGCAGCUAACGCGAUAAGUAGACCGCCUGGGGAGUACGGUCGCAAGACUAAAACUCAAAUGAAUUGACGGGG